rnacentral:rRNA from 1 species
UACAGAGGGUGCGAGCGUUGUUCGGAAUUAUUGGGCGUAAAGCGCUUGUAGGCGGCACGUCAAGUCGCGUGUGAAAUCCCCAGGCUUAACCUGGGAAGUGCGCGCGAAACUGACGAGCUUGAGUGCCGGAGAGGGUCGCGGAAUUCCCGGUGUAGAGGUGAAAUGCGUAGAUAUCGUGAGGAACACCAGAGGCGAAGGCGGCUACCUGGACAAUUGCUGACGCUCAGGCACGAAAGCGUGGGGAGCAAAAGGG